CUGACAAGUCUAAAAGCAUCAGGAUGGCAGGACUACCUGAGUCAGCAGCUAAAAUCAAAUCAUUAAAAACUCUCAGUAUAGUGGUUUCGGUGCUAUAUCUGGGUUUGAAUCCAGAUUGAAACUUUUCAUAAAUGUCAUGCUGGGCUAAAAACAACUGCAACAGGAUGUAGACUGCUCUCUCCAACACCCUAGA